rnacentral:rRNA from 1 species
ACCCCUUCUGUGCCGGAGUAAGCACAAUAAGCACUCCGCCUGGGGAGUACGGCCGCAAGGUUGAAACUCAAAGGAAUUGACGGGGGCCCGCACAAGCAGCGGAGCAUGUUGUUUAAUUCGAAGCAACGCGAAGAACCUUACCAGGUCUUGACAUCCAGUAAAAACUGUAGAGAUACAGUGUGAGCUUGCUCAUACUGAGACAGGUGGUGCAUGGUUGUCGUCAGCUCGUGUCGUGAGAUGUUGGGUUAAGUCCCGCAACGAGCGCAACCCUUGUGAUUAGUUACUAACGCGUAGAGGCGAGGACUCUGAUAAGACUGCCGGGGACAACUCGGAGGAAGGUGGGGACGACGUCAAAUCAUCAUGCCCCUUAUGACCUGGGCUACAAACGUGCUACAAUGGCCACUACAGAGAGCUGCGAACUCGCAAGGGUAAGCCAAUCUCAUAAAAGUGGUCCCAGUUCGGAUUGUGGGCUGCAACCCGCCCACAUGAAGCCGGAGUUGCUAGUAAUCGCGAAUCAGCAUGUCGCGGUGAAUACGUUCCCGGGCCUUGUACACACCGCCCGUCACACCACGGGAGUUGAUAGCGCCCGAAGUCGGUGAGGCAACCAGUAAUGGGGCCAACCGCCGAAGGUGAGAUCAAUGACUGGGGUGAAGUCGUAACAAGGUAGCCG